AACCAGAGGUCGCACCGCCGAUCUCGCCAGCCGUUGUCUCCGGCGUCUCGCCCUCGCAAUCGGUUUGUUCUCCUCUCUCUUACGCCAUUAUAAAACUUAGAGAUUCUUUCUUAGUUCCUCAAUCUUCCGAUGGAUAUCAACAAUAAUCACCACCGCUCCGACGACGACGACAACGCUCCGACGACGACGACAACGCUCUCUCAGUCACCGGAUGUCCUGCAUAAACGAUUCGAAGUUUCAGAUCAUUGUCAAAGAUGUGAUCUCAAGAUGGAUCAUCACAGUCUUUGGAUUUUUAAUUGUGAUGCCACUAAAGACGCCCAUGGAAUCUGCUUGUUAAUUGAGUGGGAUGAAUGUAAGACGCUUGACUAUGAGAGGAUUUUUGAAAAGAUGCAGAAACCAGCGUUUGUCUUUGAUGGUAUAGAAAUGUUGUUGAUGUAGAGAAGCUGGGGAAGAUAGGAUUUAUUGUUUACUCUAUUGGUAAGUCAUUGGACCAAUGGAUCAAGGAUAUGCAUGCUCUUGCUUAGAUUUGAGUAUUUGCCCAUUCUCAAGAUUUGGAAUGUUUUUGGGUUAUAUCAAAUACUUUGUUAUGUUUCUACAAAGUGACGAAAUAUUUUCCAAUACUUUAUAAAUGUUGGUUAGAUAGAGAGAAUAAAUUUGGUUAUUAUAUUAUUGCUAACGACGUUAUACUUUGAGUAUCAAAUUUGUAAGCUUCUCAUGCAUUUUCAUAUAUAAAGCUUUUACUGAUUA